ensembl:lncRNA
GGUGGCAGGUGAAUCUGGAGGGUAGGUGGUCUGUGGUGACAGGUGAAUCUGGAGGGUAGGUGGUCUGAGGUGACAGGUGAAUCUAGAGGGUGGAUGGGAUGUGGUGGCAGGUGAAUCUGGAGGGUAGGUGGUCUGUGGUGACAGGUGAAUCUAGAGGGUGGAUGGGAUGUGGUGGCAGGUGAAUCUGGAGGGUAGGUGGUAUGGGGUGGCAGGUGAAUUUGGAGGGUAGGUGGUCUGUGGUGGCAGGUGAAUCUGGAGGGUAGGUGGUCUGUGGUGACAGGUGAAUCUAGGGGGUGGAUGGGAUGUGGUGGCAGGUGAAUCUGGAGGGUAGGUGGUCUGUGGUGGCAGGUGAAUCUGGAGGGUAGGUGGUCUGUGGUGACAGGUGAAUCUGGAGGGUAGGUGGUCUGUGGUGGCAGGUGAAUCUGGAGGGUAGGUGGUAUGGGUGGCAGGUGAAUAUGGAGGGUAGGUGGUCUGUGGUGGCAGGUGAAUCUGGAGGGUAGGUGGUCUGUGGUGACAGGUGAAUCUGGAGGGUAGGUGGUC